UUUAAUGAGAGUUUGAUCCUGGCUCAGGACGAACGCUGGCGGCGUGCCUAAUACAUGCAAGUAGAACGCUGAAGAGAGGAGCUUGCUCUUCUUGGAUGAGUUGCGAACGGGUGAGUAACGCGUAGGUAACCUGCCUUGUAGCGGGGGAUAACUAUUGGAAACGAUAGCU
rnacentral:rRNA from 1 species